UACGUAGGGUGCAAGCGUCGUCCGGAAUUAUUGGGCGUAAAGAGCUCGUAGGCGGUCUGUCGCGUCUGCUGUGAAAACUCGGGGCUUAACCCCGGGCCUGCAGUGGGUACGGGCAGACUAGAGUGCGGUAGGGGAGACUGGAAUUCCUGGUGUAGCGGUGGAAUGCGCAGAUAUCAGGAGGAACACCGGUGGCGAAGGCGGGUCUCUGGGCAGUAACUGACGCUGAGGAGCGAAAGCGUGGGGAGCGAACAGG
rnacentral:rRNA from 1 species